UGGGGAAUCUUCCGCAAUGGACGAAAGUCUGACGGAGCAACGCCGCGUGAGUGAAGAAGGUCUUCGGAUUGUAAAACUCUGUUUUUUGGGAAGAAGGGCAUAUGUGUGAAUAAUGCAUAUGAUUGACGGUACCAAAAGAGGAAGCCCCGGCUAACUACGUGCCAGCAGCCGCGGUAAUACGUAGGGGGCAAGCGUUGUCCGGAUUUAUUGGGCGUAAAGAGCGCGCAGGCGGCUAUUUAAGUCUACCGUGAAAGCUUACGGCUCAACCGUAACGGGUCGGUGGAUACUGGAUGGCUUGAGGGCAGGAGAGGAAAGUGGAAUUCCCAGUGUAGCGGUGAAAUGCGUAGAGAUUGGGAGGAACACCAGUGGCGAAGGCGACUUUCUGGACUGUUACUGACGCUGAGGCGCGAAAGCUGGGGGAGUGAACGGG
rnacentral:rRNA from 2 species